rnacentral:rRNA from 1 species
AUGUGGAUCAAACAAGACAUGGCCAUCUCGUACAGAGCGGCUCGAGCAGAGGAGCAAGCUUGCACAGACCUUCCGCACAGGGCACAGGAACAGCAGGCGGCGGCGGCGGCGACCAUCCCGUCGCUGGUGAUGGAGUGGAGCCAGCCGUUCCCCAACGCCGGGAAUGCAAAUGGCAGUAGCAAGGAGAGCAACACCGAUCCUCCAUCCAGCGUGGAGUGGCCUUCCGACUGGUACAUCGAGGAACCAAGGGCAAUCCAUCAAGAUUGGCCCAUUAACACAGAGAUUGACUUGAAUUUGGAUUACUCUGUGCAAAACCAGCUCAACAUGGAUUGCCACGUCCAGCAAAGAGAAGAAAUGGAUGAGAUGCAUGCAUUUGAAUCUCCACAAAUGAAUGCCAGUUUUUCCGAAGACCUUGUAUAUGAGUCACAUUCCAGCGAACAAUCAAGUUCUGAUGUUGAGGAUGUACUGCAGGCUCACCUAGAAGGGGACACGGAUGUUGAAGAAUUGUUCCCGGUACCUGAUGAGGAAGAGUUGGUUGAGGAUCCUAGGGUGGACAAGGCAGCUAUGAUAAGGGAAGCAAGAAGCAAAAAUGCGAAAGCCAAAGCAAUCAAGAUCAGGCAGGUUAAGCAAAGAGCAGCCGCAGGCACGAUUGAGGAUGCAUUUGUGCUUAGUGAUAGUUGUAGUGACGACAAUAGAGAGAUAAUAGAUUUAGACGACGAUGAUGGUGCUGUGUUGGGGAACGGCUGGCUCCACUCCAUCACCAGCGACGGGAUGGUCGCCGCCGCCGCCGCCUGCUGUUCCUGUGCCCUGUGCGGAAGGUCUGUGCAAGCUUGCUCCUCUGCUCGAGCCGCUCUGUACGAGAUGGCCAUGUCUUGUUUGAUCCACAUGGGCUUUCAGCCCACCUAUUUUUAG